GACGAACGCUGGCGGCGUGCUUAACACAUGCAAGUCGAACGGAAAGGCCCUGCUUUUGUGGGGUGCUCGAGUGGCGAACGGGUGAGUAACACGUGAGUAGCCUGCCCUUGACUUUGGGAUAACUUCAGGAAACUGGGGCUAAUACCGGAUAGGAGCUCCUGCUGCAUGGUGGGGGUUGGAAAGUUUCGGCGGUUGGGGAUGGACUCGCGGCUUAUCAGCUUGUUGGUGGGGUAGUGGCUUACCAAGGCUUUGACGGGUAGCCGGCCUGAGAGGGUGACCGGCCACAUUGGGACUGAGAUACGGCCCAGACUCCUACGGGAGGCAGCAGUGGGGAAUAUUGCACAAUGGGCGGAAGCCUGAUGCAGCAACGCCGCGUGCGGGAUGACGGCCUUCGGGUUGUAACCCGCUUUCGCCUGUGACGAAGCGUGAGUGACGGUAAUGGGUAAAGAAGCACCGGCUAACUACGUG
rnacentral:rRNA from 1 species